rnacentral:rRNA from 1 species
GACGAACGCUGGCGGCGUGCUUAACACAUGCAAGUCGAACGGAAAGGCCCUGCUUUUGUGGGGUGCUCGAGUGGCGAACGGGUGAGUAACACGUGAGUAACCUGCCCUUGACUUUGGGAUAACUUCAGGAAACUGGGGCUAAUACCGGAUAGGAGCUCCUGCUGCAUGGUGGGGGUUGGAAAGUUUCGGCGGUUGGGGAUGGACUCGCGGCUUAUCAGCUUGUUGGUGGGGUAGUGGCUUACCAAGGCUUUGACGGGUAGCCGGCCUGAGAGGGUGACCGGCCACAUUGGGACUGAGAUACGGCCCAGACUCCUACGGGAGGCAGCAGUGGGGAAUAUUGCACAAUGGGCGGAAGCCUGAUGCAGCAACGCCGCGUGCGGGAUGACGGCCUUCGGGUUGUAAACCGCUUUCGCCUGUGACGAAGCGUGAGUGACGGUAAUGGGUAAAGAAGCACCGGCUAACUACGUGCCAGCAGCCGCGGUGAUACGUAGGGUGCGAGCGUUGUCCGGAUUUAUUGGGCGUAAAGGGCUCGUAGGUGGUUGAUCGCGUCGGAAGUGUAAUCUUGGGGCUUAACCCUGAGCGUGCUUUCGAUACGGGUUGACUUGAGGAAGGUAGGGGAGAAUGGAAUUCCUGGUGGAGCGGUGGAAUGCGCAGAUAUCAGGAGGAACACCAGUGGCGAAGGCGGUUCUCUGGGCCUUUCCUGACGCUGAGGAGCGAAAGCGUGGGGAGCGAACAGGCUUAGAUACCCUGGUAGUCCACGCUGUAAACGGUGGGUACUAGGUGUGGGGUCCAUUCCACGGGUUCCGUGCCGUAGCUAACGCUUUAAGUACCCCGCCUGGGGAGUACGGCCGCAAGGCUAAAACUCAAAGGAAUUGACGGGGCCCCGCACAAGCGGCGGAGCAUGCGGAUUAAUUCGAUGCAACGCGUAGAACCUUACCUGGGUUUGACAUGGAUCGGGAGUGCUCAGAGAUGGGUGUGCCUCUUUUGGGGUCGGUUCACAGGUGGUGCAUGCCUGUCGUCAGCUCGUGUCGUGAGAUGUUGGGUUAAGUCCCGCAACGAGCGCAACCCUUGUUCACUGUUGCCAGCACGUUAUGGUGGGGACUCAGUGGAGACCGCCGGGGUCAACUCGGAGGAAGGUGGGGAUGACGUCAAGUCCUCAUGCCCCUUAUGUCCAGGGCUUCACGCAUGCUACAAUGGCUGGUACAGAGAGUGGCGAGCCUGUGAGGGUGAGCGAAUCUCGGAAAGCCGGUCUCAGUUCGGAUUGGGGUCUGCAACUCGACCUCGUGAAGUCGGAGUCGCUAGUAAUCGCAGAUCAGCAACGCUGCGGUGAAUACGUUCCCGGG